UGGGCGUAAAGCGCGUGCAGGGGGUUUCUUAAGUCUGAGGUAAAAGGCAGUGGCUCAACCAUGGUAUGCAUUGGAAACUGGGAGACUUUGGUGCAGGAUAUGAGAGUGGACAUCCAUGUGGAGCGGUGCAAUGUGGAUGUACAUGGAGGCACAGCGGUGGCGAAAGAGGAUCUCUGGCCUGUAAAUGACACUGAGGCUCGCAAGCGUGGGGAGCAAACAGGAUUAGAAACCCCUGUAGUCC
rnacentral:rRNA from 1 species